rnacentral:ribozyme from 12 species
UGCCGGGCUGGGGCCGCGAGGAAGGUCCGCCCUCCCUCGGGGGAGGCCGCU